AACCCAUGGUGCGGGCACUCUCUCUGGUAUUCCUUAUAUCUCUCCCAGGCUUCAUGAAAAGGCUCAUCAGAUUUCUGCUUGAAAUUGGAGAUCCUAUGCCGUAGAGC
rfam:Brassica napus, WGS project CCCW01000000 data, contig: 19438